UACAGAGGUCUCAAGCGUUGUUCGGAUUCAUUGGGCGUAAAGGGUGCGUAGGCGGCGCGGUAAGUCGGGUGUGAAAUCUCGGAGCUUAACUCCGAAACUGCAUUCGAUACUGCCGUGCUUGAGGACUGGAGAGGAGACUGGAAUUUACGGUGUAGCGGUGAAAUGCGUAGAGAUGUGGAGGAACACCAGUGGCGAAGGCGACUUUCUGGUCUGUAACUGACGCUGAGGCGCGAAAGCGUGGGGAGCAAACAGG
rnacentral:rRNA from 1 species